rnacentral:rRNA from 1 species
AUUGAACGCUAGCGGGAUGCCUUACACAUGCAAGUCGAACGGAGUGGCGAACGGGUGAGUAAUGUAUCGGAACGUGCCCAGUCGCGGGGGAUAACUACGCGAAAGCGUAGCUAAUACCGCAUACUAUUUGUGCGGCCGAUAUCGGAUUAGCGAGUUGGUGGGGUACCGGCUCACCAAGGCGACGAUCCGUAGCUGGUUUGAGAGGACGACCAGCCACACUGGGACUGAGACACGGCCCAGACUCCUACGGGAGGCAGCAGUGGGGAAUGUGGGACAAUGGGGGAAAGCCUGAUGCAGCCAUCCCGCGUGUGCGAUGAAGGCCUUCGGGUUGUAAAGCACUUUUGGCAGGAAAGCGGUACCUGCAGAAUAAGCACCGGCUAACUACGUGCCAGCAGCCGCGGUAAUUC